GCAACCUCUAAAGUUUUUUUUAAAUGACACACAAUGGGUUGUGAUUUUCGCCAUCUUGUUUUUGGCAAAAAUUGCAUGUAUGUAGAAAGACUAACAGAUGACGCUAGGAGUAACUCUAUGAUAAAUUUGAAUAUUUGUAUGGAGGAUGUGAGAUUUUUCUGAAUCUAAAAGUUUUGGAGUGCGGAAAUCAAAGUUUUUGAUUUUUCUUGUUAAAAUUAAAAUGUUUUCUGUCGUAUAAAAAUAGUUCCGCAUGAAAUUUCAAGAAAAAAUAAUUAUUCACUGGAACUAUUUUUAAACGAUGCAGAACGUUUUAUUUAUAACGAGAAAAAUCAAAAACCUCCAUUUCCGUACUCCAAAAUUUUUAAAUUCAGAAAAAUCUUACAUCCUCCAUACAAAUAUUCAAAUUUAUCAUAGAGUUACUCGCAACGCCAUCUGAUUUCCCCUGAUUUCCCCUCUCGUUGAACGAAACUAUAUCACAACCCAUU